AUGAAUAACUUUUCCUCUCCUGGGAGGGGGGAGAAGCCUUGCCUCAGUACUGACAUUUUGCACACCCAGCCCACAAACCUGCUUCAAAUCCCAGAUGAUGAUCUGGGAAUUAAACCUGGGGCUUUGGUGUCUCUGCUCCAUGAGCAGAGCAGGGCCCACUGUGCACUAAACCCACGGUCCAGAGGGAGAGAGGCCUGGGGCAGCUCUCACCUGGCCAGGUACCAGCCCCAUGCUUGUGUUACUGCCUCACAACCCGACAGAAACUCAGGUCCCUCAGGGACAAGCCACAGCCUCUGCUCUCAAGACAGAGGAGCUGUGUUAAAAAACAAACAAACAAAAAAACCCCUUAAAAAUCAGAGCAAACCACCCAGCAGCAGCAGAAUAAGAAGGCAGAAGCUCAGACUUGCCAACUCAUUGUCUAGAGCCCAACCAGUUCUCCCUCCUGUCCUGGAGAUCACAGUAUUUAACUCACAAACUCACCCUGUUUGUCAUUUGAGCUUCCAGAGGUGUUUUCAAGUCUUUCUCAGGAGGUCCAGGAACCAGCAGUGCGUUCCCAUGGGAAUUUCAGCCUUUGUUAACAGGACUGCGUUCCCAGGAAUGAAAGCAAGAGAAACAAACUCCAGCUGUUGCAAGAUUUGGAAGAGCAGAGCCACGAGCGUUGCCGGCAGCAGCCUUUCCAAGGGGCUGCACCACCAAAGCACCAACCACGGCAUCGGGAUUGCUGCAUUGCUUUGGAAAUCCUCUUACCUAGAAAGGAGCUGCUCAGGGCCAGGAGAUGAAGCCCAUGUGGGUUACAGCCAGCCUUCCAUGGGAGCAGCUACCCUAGGCGAGGCACCUGCUCCUCCUCCUGAGACAGGGGAACCACGAAGCUCAGCCUGGAGGUACAGCAGGACCCACCUGAGAGCUGCGGGGAGCCAGUGGGUGCAGGAUGAGAUCCAGGCUGGAUGGGUGCUAGAGAAGUGUCCCCUCGCCAUAAACCUGAGGAUGGUGCUGGCCAGGAGUGCUGGGAAAGGACCUGGAGGCUUUGAAGAGCAGAGUGUUCUCCAGGCUGUAAUUAGCCACUGGCUUCCCCCACCCCUGAUUAUGCAGAGGAGGGAAAUGGUAGAACCCACCAGUCUGCCGGGGAGGGAGGAGGCUGCUCCAGUCCUGCCCCCCCUGGCACCCCAAGGACCCCCUGGCACCCCAGGGACCCACUGCCACCCUGGUGUUCCAGCCCUCCUCAUGGGAGUCUGGGCUCUGUGCGUGGGCAAGACCAAGGCACAGUCUGGAAAGGGAUUUACUGUGGGUCAGGGCUGCUACAGGAUGAAUUACUUCAUUAACUGGAGUCAGCUCACAAAAAGGAGGAUGUGA
rnacentral:lncRNA from 1 species